rnacentral:rRNA from 1 species
GAUGAACGCUGGCGGCGUGCCUAAUACACGCAAGUCGAGCGAAUGGAUUAAGAGCUUGCUCUUAUGAAGUUAGCGGCGGACGGGUGAGUAACACGUGGGUAACCUGCCCAUAAGACUGGGAUAACUCCGGGAAACCGGGGCUAAUACCGGAUAACAUUUUGAACCGCAUGGUUCGAAAUUGAAAGGCGGCUUCGGCUGUCACUUAUGGAUGGACCCGCGUCGCAUUAGCUAGUUGGCGAGGUAACGGCUCACCAAGGCAACGAUGCGUAGCCGACCUGGGAGGGUGAUCGGCCACACUGGGACUGAGACACGGCCCAGACUCCUACGGGAGGCAGCAGUAGGGAAUCUUCCGCAAUGGACGAAAGUCUGACGGAGCAACGCCGCGUGAGUGAUGAAGGCUUUCGGGUCGUAAAACUCUGUUGUUAGGGAAGAACAAGUGCUAGUUGAAUAAGCUGGCACCUUGACGGUACCUAACCAGAAAGCCACGGCUAACUACGGGCCAGCCGCCGCAGUAA